rnacentral:rRNA from 1 species
UACGGGGGGGGCAAGCGUUGUUCGGAAUUACUGGGCGUAAAGGGCGCGUAGGCGGUUCGCUAAGUUGGAUGUGAAAACUCUGGGCUCAACCCAGAGCCUGCAUCCAAAACUGGCGGGCUAGAGUUCUGGAGGGGGUAGCGGAAUUCCUGGUGUAGCGGUGAAAUGCGUAGAUAUCAGGAGGAACACCUGUGGUGUAGACGGCUCUCUGGACAGUAACUGACGCUGAGACACGAAAGCGUGGGUAGCAAACAGG